rnacentral:rRNA from 1 species
UACGAAGGGGGCUAGCGUUGUUCGGAAUUACUGGGCGUAAAGCGCACGUAGGCGGAUACUUAAGUCAGGGGUGAAAUCCCGGGGCUCAACCCCGGAACUGCCUUUGAUACUGGGUAUCUCGAGUCCGGAAGAGGUGAGUGGAAUUCCGAGUGUAGAGGUGAAAUUCGUAGAUAUUCGCAAGAACACCAGUGGCGAAGGCGGCUUACUGGCCCGAUACUGACACUGAGGCACGAAAGCGUGGGGAGCAAACAGG